ACGGGUGAGUAACGCGUGGUCAACCUACCGUCGAGUGGGGGAUAACUAGCCGAAAGGUUAGCUAAUACCGCAUACGUCUCCGAGGGGCAUCCCUUGGCGAUAAAAGGAGCAAUCCGCUCGAUGACGGGACCGCGUCCCAUUAGCUAGAUGGUGGGGUAACGGCCUACCAUGGCUCCGAUGGGUAGCUGGUUUGAGAGAGCGACCAGCCACACUGGGACUGAGAAACGGUCCAG
rnacentral:rRNA from 1 species